UUGCAACGCUGGAGUGGAAACAUAGGCAGCCAUUAAUGAUAAAGCCCGGCAGACGCCCAUUUUUAUCAGUGACGUUCUACGUUCAAGUGUGUCAUGUUGUUAUUUUUUCCCUAAAAGAAUCCAAGGGCAGUAUUUUAAUUUUAUAGGCAUUUAUCUAUGAUGUUGUGAACAAUCUUGGAUCCAUGGCAGCUCGAUUUAUUUUUCUCUCAAUUGAGGAGAGCAGCUAUUUUUCUUUUGCCCAGAUGUUAGACAGACAAAUCCCAAUUGACCAGCAGCCACGCCAAGCUUAUAGGUUCCAUUAUUGUUGCCUUUUGACAAUACAAUCAAGACAAUGUAAUCUGGCUGGAUGGAUCUAGGAAGAAACCGGAUGCAUGUUUUGUUAUGGGUUUUAUGAAAUUGAUGGGAAUGAAAGCUUACUGAAGGAUGCAGAAAUGACGUCAGGAAUAACAACAUUCGGCCAACGGUAAUUACGACCGAUGAUUGCAUUUCGAAGCUGUUUGAUCGACUGGAUACCGGAAAUAUCGCCUUCAAACAUAUCGGUUGCGUAACGAGGUGCUACCCAAUUCGACCUCAAGAAUCAUCCACAGCUUGUGGUUUAUUAAUGGCCAAUAUCAGAAUUUGUGAGCCAAGCCGUUGUGUGGAAUGAAACCUACCAUGCUUGAAGAUGGAUAUGACGAUAGACGGAUGCGGUUAACAUGAAACAUCUACCAACACAUACUUCAUCUUCCUCGUCACUUGGGUUGAGUAUUUAAUGUUAACGCCAGAUGUUCGUCUUCCCGUGCGUGGUCAAAGACCCGACGGGUUGGCCGAAGGCCCCAACACUCCUGACAAAAUCCUUCCCUAAGUCCACCUUUUUACCUCACCCCGUGAGUUUAACCCAUAUUCGAGAGGCGAGCAUCUGGCCUAAUAUAUCAUAUAUUUCAUAGUAUAAGUUUUUGCGUGUUCAUUUUAAAUGUGAUUAUUUUUCUAAUUUUGUUAAUAUGAUUAAACAAGUACAAAGUAAA